AUUGAACGCUGGCGGCAUGCUUUACACAUGCAAGUCGAACGGUAACAGGCCGCAAGGUGCUGACGAGUGGCGAACGGGUGAGUAAUGCAUCGGAACGUGCCCAGUCGUGGGGGAUAACGCAGCGAAAGCCGUGCUAAUACCGCAUACGAUCUAUGGAUGAAAGCGGGGGACUGUAAGGCCUCGCGCGAUUGGAGCGGCCGAUGUCAGAUUAGGUAGUUGGUGGGGUAAAGGCCCACCAAGCCAACGAUCUGUAGCUGGUCUGAGAGGACGACCAGCCACACUGGGACUGAGACACGGCCCAGACUCCUACGGGAGGCAGCAGUGGGGAGUUUUGGACAAUGGGCGCAAGCCUGAUCCAGCAAUGCCGCGUGCAGGAAGAAGGCCUUCGGGUUGUAAACUGCUUUUGUACGGAACGAAAAGGUCUGGGUUAAUACCCUGGGCCGAUGACGGUACCGUAAGAAUAAGCACCGGCUAACUACGUGCCAGCCGCCGCCGUAA
rnacentral:rRNA from 1 species